rnacentral:rRNA from 1 species
UUAGAUGUCCGGGGCCGCACGCGAGCUACAAUGGAGGAAACAGCGUGUGUUAUCCUCGUCCGACGGGACUGGGUAAGCCGCUGAACUUUCUUCGUGACGGGGAUAGGGGAUUGUAACUGUUCCCCUCGAACGAGGAAUUCCUAGUAGUCGCGGAUCAUCAGUCCGCGGCGACUAGGUCCCUGCCCUUUGUACACACCGCCCGUCGCUACUACCGAUUGAACGGAUUAGUGAGGUCUUUGGACCGGUGUUCUCUCUGGGCGUCCGUCCGGAGGGGACCUGCCGGGAAGACGACCGAACUUGUUCGUUUAGAGGAAGUAAAAGUCGWAACAAGGUUACC